GCAGCACCAUCAAGAUUCAC
rnacentral:miRNA from 3 species